UAGGGAAUCUUCGGCAAUGGACGAAAGUCUGACCGAGCAACGCCACGUGAGUGAAGAAGGUUUUCGGAUCGUAAAACUCUGUUGUUAGAGAAGAACAAGGACGUUAGUAACUGAACGUCCCCUGACGGUAUCUAACCAGAAAGCCACGGCUAACUACGUGCCAGCAGCCGCGGUAAUACGUAGGUGGCAAGCGUUGUCCGGAUUUAUUGGGCGUAAAGCGAGCGCAGGCGGUUUCUUAAGUCUGAUGUGAAAGCCCCCGGCUCAACCGGGGAGGGUCAUUGGAAACUGGGAGACUUGAGUGCAGAAGAGGAGAGUGGAAUUCCAUGUGUAGCGGUGAAAUGCGUAGAUAUAUGGAGGAACACCAGUGGCGAAGGCGGCUCUCUGGUCUGUAACUGACGCUGAGGCUCGAAAGCGUGGGGAGCAAACAGG
rnacentral:rRNA from 2 species